ACAUGUCUCCCGCCGCAGGAAGAUGAGGCAGCGGCCGCGGGCGUAGCGGGCCGGACCGAGCCCAGCGACGCGGCAGGAGGGCACCGCGGGCUCGUCGAACGCCGUCUCCGCCAACUCCAGGGCCGCGCGCAGGGCCCGUGGGGCGGACACGCGGGGAGCCGGGCCACGCGCCGCCGCCCACGCGCGCCCCUCGGGGCCGCGACGCCUCUUUGUCCGGGGGGGCCGUUCAUGCCACCGCCCCCCGCGCGUUGCGGGCCGGGCCGCACCGAGCAGGGCUGUCUCUAGGCCUAAGGAUUUGACCCCGGCCCCUCGUUGCCCCUGGAGAAUGAACCAGUCGCAAAGGAUGGCGCCUGUAGGCACCGACAAGGAGCUCAGUGACCUCCUGGACUUUAGCAUGAUGUUCCCGCUGCCUGUGGCCAACGGGAAGAGCCGGCCCGCCUCCCUGGCUGGGACCCAGUUUGGAAGCUCAGGUCUCGAGGACCGGCCAAGUUCGGGUUCAUGGGGCACCAGUGAGCAAGACAGUUCCUCCUUCGACCCUGGCCGGACCUAUAGUGAUGGCGCCCACUUUGGUGAGUCCCACAGCAGCCUCCCUUCUUCCACAUUCCUGGGUCCCGGGCUCGGAGGCAAGGGCAGCGAGCGGGGUGCAUACGCUGCCUUCGGGAGAGACACCGGGGUCAGCAGCCUGACGCAGGUGGGCUUCCUCCCCAGUGAGCUGGCCCUCAGCAGCCCAGGGCCUCUGUCCCCCUCGGGCAUCAAGGGCGGGUCCCAGUAUUAUUCCUACUCUGGGCACCCUCGGCGGAGAGCAACGGAUAGCAGCCUGGACUCGCAGCCUAAGAAGGUCCGGAAGGUGCCACCUGGCCUCCCAUCCUCAGUGUACCCCCCCAGCUCAGGGGACGACUACGGCAGGGACCCCACGGCCUACCCAUCCGCCAAGACGCCCGGCAGCUCCUACCCCACCCCAUUCUACAUGGCAGAUGGCAGUCUCCACCCCUCCGCCGAACUCUGGAGCGCCCCAGGCCAGGCGGGCUUUGGGCCCAUGCUGGGCGGGGGCUCAUCCCCCCUGCCCCUCCCGGCAGGCAGCGGCAGCUCUGUGGGGGGCAGCGGCGGGUUUGGCAGCCUGCACCAGCAUGAGCGCAUGGGCUACCAGCUGCACGGAGCAGAGGUGAAUGGCGGGCUUCCAGCCGCACCCACCUUCUCGGGCCCUGCAGGCACCUACAGCAGCAUCUCCAGCCACACGCCCCCUGUCAGCGGGGCGGACAGCCUCCUGGGCUCCCGUGGGACCACAUCCAGCAGCUCCGGAGAUGCCCUUGGCAAGGCCCUGGCCUCGAUCUACUCCCCGGAUCACUCAAGCAAUAACUUCUCCUCCAGCCCCUCCACCCCCGUGGGCUCCCCACAGGGCCUGCCAGGGACAUCCCAGUGGCCCCGACCAGGAGCCCCCGGUGCCUUAUCGCCCAGCUACGAUGGGGGUCUCCAUGGCCUGCAGAGCAAAGUGGAGGAUCACCUGGAUGAAGCCAUCCACGUGCUCCGCAGCCAUGCUGUGGGCACUGCAGGCGAUGUGCACGGGCUGCUACCUGGCCAUGGGGCACUGACCUCGGGCUUCGCUGGCCCUGUCAUGCCACUGGGUGGGCGCCAUGCAGGCCUGGUGGGAAGCAGCCAUUCGGAGGACGGCCUGUCUGGCAGCAGUGGCCUCGUGCACAACCAUGUGGCCCUCCCCGACCUCUCCCGGCCGCCUGACUCCUAUGGUGAUCUUGGGCGCGGCACUGCCCCGGGCACCACCGACAUCAAGCGGGAAGAGCAAGAGGAUGAAGAGAACGUGGCAGCUGACACAGCCGAGGAUGAGAAGAAGGACCUCAAAGCUCCACGCACCCGGUCCAGCCCAGACGAGGACGAGGACGACCUUCUCCCCCCAGAGCAGAAGGCUGAGCGGGAGAAGGAGCGCCGGGUGGCCAAUAACGCACGGGAGCGGCUGCGGGUCCGAGACAUCAAUGAGGCUUUUAAGGAGCUGGGGCGCAUGUGCCAGCUGCACCUCAACAGUGAGAAGCCCCAGACCAAACUGCUCAUCCUGCACCAGGCCGUGUCGGUCAUCCUGAACCUGGAGCAGCAGGUGCGAGCAGUACGGAGGAGGUGCUGUCCCUGGAGGAGAAAGACCUGAGGGACCGGGAGAGGCGCAUGGCCAAUAACGCGCGGGAGCGGGUGCGCGUGCGGGACAUUAACGAGGCCUUCCGGGAGCUGGGGCGCAUGUGCCAGCUGCACCUCAAGUCGGACAAGGCGCAGACCAAGCUGCUCAUCCUGCAACAGGCCGUGCAGGUCAUUCUGGGCCUGGAGCAGCAGGUGCGAGAGCGUAACCUGAACCCCAAAGCGGCCUGCUUGAAGCGCAGGGAAGAGGAGAAGGUAUCAGGCGUGGUUGGAGACCCCCAGAUGGUGCUGUCGGCUGCCCACCCCGGCCUGGGCGAGGCCCACAACCCUGCCGGGCACCUGUGACAGGAAUGUUGCCCGGACAAGUGACCCCACCUCGGUCUUACCUGAGACGGUCACGCCGGAGGCCAGAUCCCCGCCCCACGUUGCCCGAGGUCAACCUCGAGCCAGCAUCGCCCCGGGCCCGGCCACCAGGUCUCCUACCGGAUGGAUCCUGAAACUGUGUCUAGGCCCUGCCGCCCGGGCCUGGGCCCAAAGGAGCAUUUUUGUUUGUUUGUUUUUGGCAAUAGAACCUGAAACCAAGCAAGAAAGCAAGCCAGAAAUAUAUACACUUUGUCAGAAAAGAAAAAAAAGAUGCCUUAAGUUAAGUAUGAGGUCAAACAUGCUGCUCACGGGAGGGAGAAGCUGUUCGGAGCCAGCAGCAAAUCGUGCCUAAGCCUAAUCGUUGUUUUUGUUUUUAAGGAAAAUAAAAGGAACCUUAGUUACGAGAUUUUUUUAUAUAUAUAUAACGUAGAAGAAAAUUAGAAUGCUUUUUUUUUUUAGCUUUUUUGCAUAUGUUUUGUAAGCAAAUUUUUUUGUAUAAAGUGUCUUGUCUCUUGCUAUUUCUGCUGCUGUUUCUAGAAAUUAGCAUUGCAUUUCAUUAUCAACCAGAUUAUUAAAAAUUGUAUUAAAAUGACCCCAGGACUUCCCUGGCGGUCCGGUGGUUAAAAUUUUAUGCUCCCAAUUCAGGGACAUAGGUUCCAUCCCUGGUCUGGUAACUAAGAUCCCACGUGCAGUGGAGCAUGGCAAAAAAAGACCUCAUGUAGACCUGUGGUCUCCCAUCCUCUCUGAGAGCUGCUGGUCCCACGGGUGGUUGCUGCCAUCUUGUUCCAGUUCUAACGUGGGGGGCCUGUUCUCUAAGAUUUGCUCUCUGUGAAAUGGUGGGUGGGCCUCACCCUGAUGGGGAAUCUCAGUGGAGACAGGGAUGAUCCCAGCUCAGAAGGUCAAGGUUCCUCCCCUGUAAGCAGCUCCGUCCCUCCGUCCUGCUGCUAGCCCCACACUGAGCCCCGAGCCUGUGGACCUCUCCAAGAUAGGACUUUGUGAAAACCAGCAUUCCUGGGCUCAGGGCUUGUACAUCUUCACCUAUUUGGCCAGGGGACCUGAGCCCCUGCUUCGAACUCUAGCACAGAAACCCCCGCUCUCCAAGUGGUUGUCCUGAUGUGUAUGUUGGGGGGGUGGGGAUGUACAGGGUGCCUGCCUAGAAAGGCCCUUGGUCUGUGUGUUUGCAACCCUGGAGGGUGGGCUACCCUCAGGCUCUAAGUGCCAGCUCCCAAGCCUCCCCAUGUACCCUUCUCACCUGUGUUCAAGGGAGCCAAUUCAACCUGGACUGCUGGGACCAUCCCAGACUUAAACUGAAAGUCCAAGAUGGUCACUCUGUGUCACCUAGGCAUGGAGUCAGGCCCAGUGGGAUCUCACCUGCCCUCCCUUCUCUCCUGCACAGAGGCCUUAUGGACCCCCCAGGCUGGCUGUGGGCACCCCACACCACCAGCGUCCCAGGCAUCUACCCGAAGACUCCCACCCUCAUUCCCCAAGCACUGGGGCUGCUUGUCCCCCAAGACUGGAAUGCCCCUGUGGCUGGGUAUCCCAUGAGAAGCUUGAGGAAACCCCAAGACCAGGAUGGGUGGGAUAUCCCAGCUUGGGGGGGCCACCUCUGGACUCCUGGGGUUCCCCUGGGCUCUCCUGCCAAGACCAAGUCACACUCCUAGGUGAUCCCUCUGGUCUGUGGGUCUUAUCUCUGGGGAAGCUGCUUCAGUUUCCCUCUGCAGCUCCCUGAGGCCCACAGAUUUCUGAACUCUAUCACAUAUAUAAUUUAAGUUUUAUAUGUUAUAUAUAUAUAUAAAAUGAGAUUAACCCAGCCCAGGGAAAAAGCCUUGAGGGAGGGGGAAGAAUCACAGUUACAGGAAAAUUGUGCUCUGAGUGCCUCAGGAUAACUGACUUUUUUUAAAACAAAAAAAAUUUAAGUAAAAUAAUUUUAUACAACUCAACACAGCUGGCUGGAUUCUUUUAAUAGUGAUCCUCUUUAAGAGUCGAUUUGGCAACCUGUCCUGUACAUAACAGCACUGUAGCAAUAAAUGACAUUUUAUGACAAUA